rnacentral:rRNA from 1 species
UAACGCGAAGAACCUUACCAGGUCUUGACAUCCUUUGACCACUCUAGAGAUAGAGCUUUCCCUUCGGGGACAAAGUGACAGGUGGUGCAUGGUUGUCGUCAGCUCGUGUCGUGAGAUGUUGGGUUAAGUCCCGCAACGAGCGCAACCCUUAUUACUAGUUGCCAGCAUUUAGUUGGGCACUCUAGUGAGACUGCCGGUGACAAACCGGAGGAAGGUGGGGACGACGUCAAAUCAUCAUGCCCCUUAUGACCUGGGCUACACACGUGCUACAAUGGAUGGUACAAAGGGCAGCGAAGCCGCGAGGUGAAGCCAAUCCCAUAAAACCAUUCUCAGUUCGGAUUGUAGGCUGCAACUCGCCUACAUGAAGCCGGAAUCGCUAGUAAUCGCGGAUCAGCAUGCCGCGGUGAAUACGUUCCCGGGCCUUGUACACACCG